GACGAGCGGCGGACGGCUGAGUAACGCGUGGGAACAUGCCCCAAAGUGAGGAAUAACUGCCCGAAAGGGUAGCUAAUGCCGCAUAUGAUCUUAGGAUUAAAGGAUUUAUCCGCUUUGGGAGUGGCCCGCGUCCGAUUAGGUAGUUGGUGAGGUAAAGGCUCACCAAGCCCACGAUCGGUAACUGGUCUGAGAGGAUGAUCAGUCAGACUGGAACUGAGACACGGUCCAGACUCCUACGGGAGGCGGCAGUGAGGAAUCUUCCACAAUGGGCGAAAGCCUGAUGGAGCGACGCCGCGUGCAGGAUGAAGGCCUUCGGGUUGUAAACUGCUUUUAUAAGUGAAGAAUAUGACGGUAACUUAUGAAUAAGCACCGGCUAACUACGUGCCAGCAGCCGCGGUCAUACGUAGGGUGCAAGCAUUAUCCGGAGUGACUGGGCGUAAAGAGUUGCGUAGGUGGUUUAUUAAGUGAAUGGUGAAAUCUGGCGGCUCAACCGUACAGACUAUUAUUCAAA
rnacentral:rRNA from 1 species